rnacentral:rRNA from 1 species
AAUCAACGCUGGCGGCGUGCCUCAGACAUGCAAGUCGAACGCGAAAGUUCCCUUCGGGGAGCGAGUAGAGUGGCGCACGGGUGAGUAACACGUAGGUAAUCUACCUCAGGGUGGGGAAUAACAGCCGGAAACGGCUGCUAAUACCGCAUAAUGCAGCGGCACCACAUGGUGACAGUUGUUAAAGCGGGGGAUCGUAAGACCUCGCGCCUGGAGAUGAGCCUGCGGCGGAUUAGCUAGUUGGCAGGGUAACGGCCUACCAAGGCAACGAUCCGUAGCCGGCCUGAGAGGGCGGACGGCCACACUGGGACUGAGAUACGGCCCAGACUCCUACGGGAGGCAGCAGUGGGGAAUCUUGCGCAAUGGCCGAAAAGGCGUGACGCAGCGACGCCGCGGUGGGGGAGU